AGAUGGAGAAAGAAAAGGGAAUGAGAUUGCAGAAAUGAAGGAAAGGAAGAGCAGAAGAGGAACGUGAGGAAAAGAAGAAAAAUGCAGAAAAGAUGGUUUAUUUAAUAUAUAGAUAUCUUUCCAGCGGUAAGUGUGAAGAAUGAAUGUGAGAGAAAAAGGGACAAAGGAUGUGACAUGAUUGACAUUGGUGUUGUUAUGAAACCUAGGCCGGCAACAAUGAAUCUUGUUCGAUUGUAAAGAAAUUAUGAUACAUAGGUUGUUCAUCCCUAUAAAGCAUAAACAUAAAAGCAUAGUCGGUGCUUCAUGAAAAAUAUAAUAA
rnacentral:lncRNA from 1 species